GGUCGCGGUAAGAGAUUCGCUUUUGGGGAACCAUAUCUCGUCGGCUGGUCCCGGUCCUUACCAUCCACCGAGCGCCAUUUUUCCGGGGGAUAGACACAGUGCCACUGCCUGGGCGUACUUGUGUUCGUGGUUCUGGACCGUUUCGGGUUGCGAGUGUUGGUGGAAGAGUGCUUUUGGUUCUGAUUUUUUCUCACUCUGUCGUUGUUGCUCUGUCGGAUGAACAGAUCUUCACGGGUAAAAAGUGGCAAAGUGUCAAAAGUUCGUAUGAUUUUUCACUCCUCCUGACGAUUUUUGGUGAGGGGGACUCGGGAAUCGGAUUCUGGCUCGCGAAAAUUACGGAAUCCUGACACAGGAAGUGAAGAUUUUGAAGCAGACGUUCGGUGCUGCUAUCGUUGCGGAUGUUGGAAGGAAAAAAACCAUGUAGUGAAAGUGUGUCGAGAUUUUGGGGCCCCCAGAGUGAAGUGCUAGAGGAAAAAGGGAAAAGCGAGCAAAAGUGUGUCUCGCGGGUGUGUUUGUGUCCUGUUUAGGUAAACAUUUCAUCAGAUCCGGCAGAGGAAACCGAAUCAUGAGGCAGUUUUCUUCAUUGCUGGGACUCCUGGCAUUCGGUUGGAUCUCGCUGUUACCGGAGCCAAGUAGAGCCCUGCCCGAUAUUAUACGUAUCGGCGGGCUCUUCCAUCCCGAUGAUGAUCAUCAGGAGAUCGCGUUCCGGUACGCGGUAGAGAAAAUCAACUCCGACCGAACGAUCCUGCCUCGGUCCAAGCUGUUGGCCCAGAUCGAGCGGAUAUCGCCCCAGGAUAGCUUCCUGGCGUCCAAGCGGGUGUGCCAUUUGCUACGCGUCGGAGUGGCAGCUAUUUUUGGGCCACAAUCGUCACACACCGCAAGCCACGUGCAAAGCAUUUGCGAUACGAUGGAGAUCCCACACCUGGAAACGCGCUGGGAUUAUCGGCUUCGACGCGAAAGCUGUCUGGUGAAUUUAUACCCACAUCCGAGCACACUGUCGAAGGCUUACGUGGACCUGGUGGCCGCCUGGGGCUGGAAGUCGUUCACCAUCAUCUACGAAACGAACGAGGGCCUGGUGCGGAUGCAGGAGCUACUCAAAGCCCACGGGCUGUCCGAGUAUCCCAUCACCGUUCGGCAGCUGAGCGAUUCCGGCGAUUAUCGUCCCCUGCUGAAACAGAUCAAGAACUCGGCCGAAUCGCACAUCGUUCUCGAUUGCACCACGGAGAAAAUCUACGAGGUGCUGAAGCAGGCCCAGCAGAUCGGCAUGAUGAGUGACUACCACAGCUAUCUGAUAACGUCGCUGGACCUCCACACCAUCAACCUGGACGAGUUUAAGUACGGUGGCACAAACAUCACCGCCUUCCGACUGGUGGACCCGGAGAACCCCGAAGUGGCCCAGGCCAUCCACAACUGGACGCUGGGCGAGGCGCGUCUCGGGAAGAAAAUUGAUUUCCGAACAACGGAGAACGUGACUGUCAUCAAGGCCGAAACAGCACUGAUGUACGACGCCGUCCACCUGUUUGCAAAAGCGUUGCACGACCUGGACACCAGUCAGCAGAUUGACAUCCAUCCGCUGUCCUGUGACGCCCAGGACACCUGGCCCCACGGCUACAGUUUAAUAAAUUACAUGAAAAUCGUGGAAAUGCGUGGGCUCACGGACGUCAUCAAAUUUGACCACCAGGGCUUUCGCAGUGACUUCGUGCUCGAUAUUGUGGAACUGGGACCGCAGGGGCUGCGCAAGAGUGGCACCUGGAAUUCCACCUCGGGGGUGAACUUCACCCGCACCUAUGGCGAACAGCAGAAGGAGAUCGUGGAGAUCCUGCAGAACAAGACGCUGAUAGUGACGACGAUUCUCAGCUCUCCCUACUGCAUGCGGAAGGACUCGGCCGAGAAGCUGACGGGGAACUCGCAGUUCGAGGGGUACGCAAUCGAUUUGAUACACGAGAUCUCGAAGAUACUGGGCUUCAACUACUCGAUCCGGCUCGCGCCGGAUGGGAGAUAUGGAAGCUACAAUAAGGAGACUGGCGAAUGGGACGGCAUGAUCAAGGAGCUGCUGGAGCAGCGGGCCGACCUGGCCAUCGCCGAUCUCACCAUCACCUUCGACCGGGAGCAGGUGGUCGACUUCACGAUGCCUUUCAUGAAUCUGGGCAUAUCCGUCCUCUACCGGAAGCCGGUCAAACAGCCCCCGAAUCUGUUCUCCUUCCUGUCGCCACUCUCGCUCGAUGUGUGGAUCUACAUGGCGACGGCUUAUCUCGGCGUGUCCGUCCUGCUGUUCAUCCUAGCGCGCUUCACUCCGUACGAGUGGGAGAAUCCUCAUCCCUGUAAUUCGGAUCCACUCUUCCUGGAGAACAGCUUCACGCUGCUGAACUCGCUCUGGUUUACGAUCGGUUCGCUGAUGCAGCAGGGCUGCGAUAUUGCCCCCAAGGCCGUCUCGACGCGAAUGGUCGCCGGGAUGUGGUGGUUCUUCACGCUGAUCAUGAUCAGCUCGUACACCGCCAACCUGGCCGCGUUUCUCACCGUCGAGCGGAUGGACUCACCGAUCGAGAGCGCCGAGGAUCUGGCGAAGCAAACCAAGAUCAAGUACGGAGCGCUGCGAGGCGGCAGCACGGCUGCGUUCUUCAGGGAUUCCAAUUUUUCCACCUACCAGAGAAUGUGGUCCUUCAUGGAGUCUACCCGGCCGACAGUGUUCACGGCCAGCAACAUCGAGGGAGUCGAAAGGGUCGUCAAGGGGAAGGGUAGCUACGCCUUCCUGAUGGAGUCCACCUCGAUCGAGUACGUGAUCGAGCGGAACUGUGAACUGACGCAGGUUGGAGGGAUGCUGGAUUCGAAGGGCUAUGGGAUCGCGAUGCCUCCGAAUUCACCGUUUCGCACUGCCAUUAGCGGAGCCGUCCUGAAGCUGCAGGAGGAGGGUAAGCUGCACAUUCUGAAAACACGCUGGUGGAAGGAGAAACGAGGCGGAGGGUCCUGUAGGGACGAAACGUCGAAAUCAAGCUCCACGGCGAACGAACUGGGCCUAGCCAACGUGGGCGGUGUCUUCGUGGUACUAAUGGGUGGAAUGGGGGUGGCCUGCGUGAUCGCCGUGUGCGAAUUCGUUUGGAAAUCUCGGAAAGUGGCCGUCGAGGAACGGGAACCCUACCAGAAAAAACAUCCCAAAGAGUGUAGAUUCGAGUGAGGGUUGCAAUGCGCGACCUAAUGUUAGCGCUUUUGUUCGCCGAAUCUUGGCUUGUCAUCGCCGAAACCGAACCGUUUCAGGACCAAAGAUCAUUGCUAGUAGAAAACCACAAGAUUUGGCGCAUCAUUCGAAACUACUGAUGGGUUGUGUAUUUCGACCGACGCUCUCAUCUCAUGAGUUAUUUUUUAAUUGUAGAUUCAGGGAAAGUACCGACAGCUUUUAGGGCAAUUAGCAAAACCUUGUAAAUAGAGAGUGGAGGAACAGAACAUUACUUCAAUUCAGCAGAUAACUCGUAAAUUUUUACCCUCAUCGGAACCCGUCUCUAAAUGUAUUGGAAGCUAGUUCAUUUCGUACCAAGAGAAAACCAUGCUCAUGUGACAAAGCGACGGCUGUAUUAGAUACCGAACGAAACACACGCGAAUAUGCUCAAAUUAGAACCCAAAAAACCAUCCUCUCCUUCUCCCUAAACACGAAAUCCAAAAUGUAUUGUGUGGCGAUUUUUCUUCUCUUCAAUCCUACCAAUAUAAACCAACCUUACACGUACACACAACAAUGACAACAAUGAUUCAACUCUUAAAUCGUCGUGGGAAUCCGUCCCGGACUCGAUUGAUCCACGCGGAUUGCAGGAGAUCUCACUCUGCUCGGAGAUGGCUUCGGAGCUUCGUUCGGCUCUGAAACGCAACCGCUCAAAAUCCGCUAGCCAUAAUACCACCGUUCGUACGUCCAGUUCCCGCGCAUCGCCCAAGGAUUCGGAACCAUCGUCCGAGCA